UACGAAGGGGGCUAGCGUUGUUCGGAAUUACUGGGCGUAAAGCGCGUGUAGGCGGUUGUUCAAGUCAGGUGUGAAAGCCUUGAGCUCAACUCAAGAAAUGCACUUGAUACUGGAUGACUAGAGGACCGGAGAGGAUAGUGGAAUUCCCAGUGUAAUGGUGAAAUACGUAGAGAUUGGGAAGAACACCAGUGGCGAAGGCGGCUAUCUGGACGGUUUCUGACGCUAAGACGCGAAAGCGUGGGGAGCAAACAGG
rnacentral:rRNA from 1 species